rfam:Triticum aestivum genome assembly, contig: Triticum_aestivum_CS42_TGACv1_scaffold_406171_5BL
UACCUACUCCCUCCGUCCCAAAAUAAGUGACUCAAAACUGACUCAAUUUUGUACUAAAGUUGAGUCAUUUUUGAGUCACUUAUUUUGGAACGGAGGGAGUACUAU